rnacentral:lncRNA from 1 species
UGUCUAAAUACAGGGUUCAUACACCUUUUUAGUUCCAUUUUUCCAUGACUUUUCCAUGACUUUUCAAGGAUGUUUUAUGAAAUUUCCAUACCCAAAAACUAUAGACCAAAAAGUCAUCCCUAAUGCUAUAAACAUGCUUUUGUGUCCUUUCCAUGCAACUAAAUAAACAAUCUUUUUAACAUCCAAUAAUGACACAAUUGCACUGAAACACAAUGAGAAAUACCAACAUAUUUAUGAAUGACAAUACUGAGUUAAGUUUGCUAACAAUGAUGUAGACCUACUUGUUAUCAAAGAUUCUAUGAAAGAGUAUGACCUACACACUCAUUUGAAUGUCCCCUUUGGUAUAUGUUCUGCCUCUUUUUACAGUAUAAAAGAAUAUAUACAAAUUUUGAAAUAUUUUAAUAAACAAAGUAUUAGAAAAGGUUAUUUGGCAUAAUCCUCUUGACUGGUUGGACUUUCAUCAAACAGAUAAUACAUUGUAGACAAAAAACUAUCACCUUCCUACUUAGAGGCAUCAUUGCCAUUUCAGAAGUGACAUUUGUCUACUAUCCAGAAACAUAUUCUUAAAUACCGAGACGAUAUCCUCACAACUUUUGUAUGAAAAAUUGCUCUUUACUAUAUGUAGGACUCUUUAUCAUUUCAGCUCCUCUAUCCAUACAUUAUCAUUAAAAGUGUUUUUCAACGGCUGUUUGGUAGCAAUAACUUCGUUUUCGAAUAUUCCGAUAGCUGGUUUCUUAUUUCAAUACUGUUAAAGCAAAUUGCACUAUGAAGGGAACCAGAUGAUGCGGUUGCAUAUUUUUAUAAACAAUUUUGAAGAAACGAAUUUUAAAUUCUCAUUUUACACUUACCACAACUGGGGCCUUGUUUCUAGCAUUCGAAAAAGAAACAGUUUCGACAAAAACUACUAGGGAUCAUUUAAUUUUAGAUGUUUGAAGACAUGCAAUAAAGAUUACAGUGCAAAUAAUCAUUUUCCAUGACUAUUCAAGGACUUGUCACUAAAAUAUAGCUUUCCAUGACUUUUAAAGGCCUUUCCCCCCCUAAAUAAAAAUCCAUGACUUUUCCAGGAUUCCAUGCCCCGUACGAACCCUGUAAAUAUAAAGGCUUCGGCAAAAUAGCGAUUAAUAUUAUAAAGAGUUUUGCUAUUUUGCCGGUUUUAACCCCGCCAUAUUCUGCAUGUAUGUGACUGUUCCAAGUCAGGAGCCUGUUAUUCAGUUAUUUUCUUUUGUUGAUG